rnacentral:rRNA from 1 species
GGAAUCCGCCAGAAGUGGGUAGCCUAACCGCAAGGAGGGCGCUUACCACGGUAGGUUUCAUGACUGGGGUGAAGUCGUAACAAGGUAGCCGUAGGUGAACCUGCAGAAGGAUCA